UCCUGGCUCAGGACGAACGCUGGCGGCGUGCCUAACACAUGCAAGUCGAACGAAGACCAUAGAGGAGCUUGCUUUAAUAUGGUUUUAGUGGCGGACGGGUGGGUAACGCGUGAGGACUUGUCGAGUACAGGGGGACAACAGGUGGAAACGUCUGCUAAUACCCCAUAAGCCUUCGGGUAAAAGGAGCGAUCCGGUACACGAGAGACUCGCGUUCUAUCAGCUAGUAGGUGGGUAACGGCCCACCCAGGCCAAGACGGAUAGCCGGACUGAGAGGUCGAUCGGCCACACUGGAACUGAGACACGGUCCAGACUCCUACGGGAGGCAGCAGUGGGGAAUAUUGGGCAAUGGGGGGAAAAACCCCCUGACCCAGCGACGCCGCGUGAGUGAAGAAAUCCCUCGGGAUGUAAAACUCUGUUGUGUGGGAAGAUAAUGACGGUACCACACGAGGAAGCCCCGGCAAACUACGUGCCAGCCGCGGC
rnacentral:rRNA from 1 species